rnacentral:rRNA from 1 species
GACGAACGCUGGCGGCGUGCCUAAUACAUGCAAGUCGAACGCAGUGGGGACGGGUGAGUAACACGUGGGUAACCUCCCAUCAGAGGGGAUAACACUUGGAAACAGGUGCUAAACCGAUACUGAUGGAUGGACCCGCGGUGCAUUAGCUAGUUGGUGAGGUAACGGCUCACCAAGGCGACGAUCCAUAACUGGUCUGAGAGGGUGAUCGGACACACUGGGACUGAGACACGGUCCAGACUCCUACGGGAGGCAGCAGUGGGGAAUAUUCGGCAAUGGACGAAAGCCUGAUCGAGCCAUGCCGCGUGUGUUAAGAAGGUCUUCGGAUUGUAAAGCACUUUAGGUUGGGAAGCGUUACCAACAGAGUAAGCCACGGCUAACUACGUGCCAGCAGCCGCGGUAAUUC